rnacentral:piRNA from 1 species
UGAAUAGGCUAAGCAGCAAAUUAGAUGC